GCAGAGAAUGCAGUUACAUCCAGCUGGUGGCUGGUCACCAGUGCUGUUCCCCAGGGCUCAGUACUGGUGCCAGUCCUGUUUAAUGCCUUCAUUGAUAUCAGGACAAGGGGAUUGAGUGCACUCUCAGGCAGUUCACAGCCUGUCAGCUUUGAAGCCAGUCACCUGCAGAGCUAUUCAUUAGCUCACAGUGUAAAAACACUGAUAGCCCUGGGUAGGACACAGCUGGAUGUUGAAGAGGAAUCAGAGGCAGAAGAUUACAACAUUUUGAGAGUGAGAGAAUACAAGGUCCUUCAUGAAAAAACAGUGGAACAAGUGGAUAUGAGGAGUGAUACCACCACUCUGCUGUAGAUCCCAGUAAUAUAGGAGUACUGCAGGAAUGUUCAGAGAUUGUCUAAGGAAGGAUGAAGAAAACUGUCUGAAGUCUUCAUCACAAAGAGCUCCACUCACAUCAGCUGCAGGAGGCAAGGCAGGGGAACUGGAAGAAUGACAACAUCCCACUGUAGGAGAAGACCAGGUUCGAGAACAUCUAAUUAGCCUGAAGGUACACAGGCUGAUGGGACCUGCUAGGCAUUAGAUGCAAGAUGCAAAAUUCAAAGCUACGCAAACAUCUGAAAGGUUGAAGAUUAUACUAAACUCUUCUGCUGAUUUAACCAAACUGAGACUUGGAAGAGAGUGCACCAUCAUCUUUUAAAUGUUCAAUUUGGCUAAAAAAUUCUAUUUGACACAUUGAUUUAAGAAGUGAUGUACUGUCAACCAAGGAUCCCAUGGUGGUUGAGAGGGAGGAAAAA